rnacentral:rRNA from 1 species
AUUGAACGCUGGCGGCAUGCUUUACACAUGCAAGUCGAACGGUAACAGGUUAAGCUGACGAGUGGCGAACGGGUGAGUAAUGCAUCGGAACGUGCCCGAUCGUGGGGGAUAACGCAGCGAAAGCUGCGCUAACACCGCAUACGAUCUGAGGACGAAAGCGGGGGACCGUAAGGCCUCGCGCGAUCGGAGCGGCCGAUGUCAGAUUAGGUAGUUGGUGAGGUAAAGGCCCACCAAGCCGACGAUCUGUAGCUGGUCUGAGAGGACGACCAGCCACAAUGGGACUGAGACACGGCCCAGACUCCUACGGGAGGCAGCAAUGGGGAAUUUUGGACAAUGGGCGAAAGCCUGAUCCAGCAAUGCCGCGUGCAGGAAGAAGGCCUUCGGGUUGUAAACUGCUUUUGUACGGAGCGAAAAGGUCCUUUCUAAUACAAGGGGCUCAUGACGGUACCGUAAGAAUAAGCACCGGCUAACUACGUGCCAGCCGCCGCAGUAA